rnacentral:rRNA from 1 species
ACCACCAAUAACACUCUGAAUGUGCAUGAUCUUGUCUGAUCUUGGAAGCUAAGCAGGGUCAGGCCUGGUUAGUACUUGGAUGGGAGACUUGUUACUGUUUUUGGCAUAUAGAAUAAGCCAUGGGUAGCU